rnacentral:lncRNA from 1 species
GGCAGCUACUUCCUGACCUCCAUCAGCACUUGAGCUUUUGGAGCAUUGAGAGGGGUGUAGCUGUGGAAUCUUCCUGGGGGGGAGCCCCGUCGAACUCUACGGUCCGGGCUCCUCUACCUACGAGCUCGGGGGAGAGUUCGGACACGCUUGUGUCCGGGGGGAGUUCGAGAACGUGGUCGAACUUCACUCGGCCCUUUUUCAGCUGCGGGC